rnacentral:rRNA from 1 species
GAUGAACGCUAGCGGCAGGCUUAACACAUGCAAGUCGAGGGGUAUAGGUUUUCGGACCUAGAGACCGGCGCACGGGUGCGUAACGCGUAUGCAAUCUACCUUUCACAGAGGGAUAGCCCAGAGAAAUUUGGAUUAAUACCUCAUAGUAUAGCAGUUUCGCAUGAAACCACUAUUAAAGUAUCAACGGUGAAAGAUGAGCAUGCGUCCCAUUAGCUAGAUGGUAAGGUGACGGCUUACCAUGGCUACGAUGGGUAGGGGUCCUGAGAGGGAGAUCGCACACACUGGUACUGAGACACGGACCAGACUCCUACGGGAGGCAGCAGUGAGGAAUAUUGGUCAAUGGACGCAAGUCUGAACCAGCCAUGCCGCGUGCAGGAUGACGGUCCUAUGGAUUGUAAACUGCUUUUGUACGAGAAGAAACAACAUUACGUGUAAUGUCUUGACGGUAUCGUAAGAAUAAGGAUCGGCUAACUCCGUGCCAGCAGCCGCCGUAAUAC